GAUGAACGCUGGCGGCGCGCCUAACACAUGCAAGUCGAACGGUUAAAGCACCUUUUAGGUGUGUAUAAAGUGGCGAACGGCUGAGUAACACGUGGGCAACCUGCCCUCCUCUUGGGGAUAGCCUCGGGAAACCGAGGAUAAUACCCGAUACUUCAAUGUGGCCGCAUGACGACAUUGAGAAAGCUUUUGCGGAGAAGGAUGGGCCCGCGGCCUGUUAGCUUGUUGGUGGGGUAGAGGCCUACCAAGGCAAUGAUGGGUAGCUGGGUUGAGAGACCGACCAGCCAGAGUGGGACUGAGACACGGCCCAGACUCCUACGGGAGGCAGCAGUGGGGAAUCUUGCACAAGGGGCGAAAGCCUGAUGCAGCGACGCCGCGGGCGGGACGAAGGCCUUCGGGUUGUAAACCGCUUUCAGCAGGGACGAGGCGAUAAGUGACGGUACCUGCAGAAGAAGCCCCGGCUAACUACGUG
rnacentral:rRNA from 1 species